AUGAAGGAGAGGAGGAGGUUUAUGAAAGAGGAGGAUUAUGAAAGAGAGGAGGAGGACUAUGAAGGAGAGGAGGAGGACUAUGAAGGAGAGGAGGAGGACUAUGAAGGAGUGGAGGAGGGCUGUGAAGAAGAGGAAGAGGAUGAAGACAAAGAGGAGGACGAGGAGGAGGCUGAGGAUGAGGACAAGGAGGAGAAGGAAAAGGACAACAAAGAGGAUGCAGAAAUUGCUUGUGGCGCCUGUUCUGCUGAGCAUAGAGUAUGGGAUACGGCUACUGAGGAUAAACUGGAAUACCUUUUCCAAGAAAGUCUCCCAAUGUCUGUAUUAUUCUUCUCUAAAGAAGCGGCUGAAUAUAAGUAUGAAAAUUCUGAUGAGGAGGCUCAAGAAGCUGGAGGCAAGAAGGAGAGAGAAGAGGAUGAAAAUGAAGAACUGGAAGAAGGACUUGAAAAGGAUCUGGACUCAGCAGAGCACAGCCCCUUCAAAAAAUCCAGCUUGGAGGCAGAGAAAUAAAUAGAUGGAGAAAGAAGAAAUUAAUUUCCUCUUCAUGGAUGUUCUAGUUUUCAGUAGCUCAAACAACUGGUUUUGUUAAAGUUCAUUACACAAAAAUGAUAUAAACUGAUAUCUGACUUUACUCUUACAUUUUACAUAUAUAUUUGACAGCAU
rnacentral:lncRNA from 1 species